GGCUCCCGGUCCCCGGCCCGGAGGCUGCGGCUUCUGAUCGGGAGGCGGCGGCGGCGGGAGCGGCCAUGGAGGCAGGCGGCGGGGCC
rnacentral:miRNA from 1 species